GACAAGCACUAAGACAGGUGAAACAGAUCAGGGUGUGACAACUAUAUGGAAUGGGGUGCCAUUUCAGACAACACAACCGUUUCUGCAUGAGGUUAGGUAGGUGUUACCAUGAGGUUAGGUAGGUGUUACCAUGAGGUUAGGUAGGUGUUACCAUGAGGUUAGGUAGGUGUUACCAUGAGGUUAGGUAGGUGUUACCAUGAGGUUAGGUAGGUGUUACCAUGAGGUUAGGUAGGUGUUACCAUGAGGUUAGGUAGGUGUUACCAUGAGGUUAGGUAGGUGUUACCAUGAGGUUAGGUAGGUGUUACCAUGAGGUUAGGUAGAUGUUAACAUGAGCCUGAGAAGUUAGCUAGUGAUUAGCAUGGCAAGUCAUAGAUCAAAUGCUAACUGGUUUGUAGGAAAACAGUCUUGUAAAAAAGUGCCUCAUUUGUCCCA